CAUAUCAUUCCACCGCUACAAUAUACUACCACCACUGACAUAUCCCACCAAUGCUGCCAUAUACCACCACCGCUGCCACAUCCUACCUCUAUAUAUCAACAACCAAUCCGAGUCCUUUCAUAUUAGGUUUGUUUUCGAGAUCCAUCCAAUUUCCGAUUCGUGUUUCCUUGCUUGAGUAGGUUUCGGAAAAAAAACCCACCACCGCUGCCAUCUACCACCGCAGCUGCCAUAUCAUACCAACGCUGACAUAUCCCGCUAACGCUGUCAUAUACCACCACCGCUGCCAUAUCCUACCACUAUAUAUCCACCACCAGUCCGAGUUCUUUGCAUAUUAGGUUUGUUUUCGAGAUCCAUCUAAUUUCCGAUUCGUGUUUCCUUGCCUGAGUAGGUUUCGAAAAAAAACCACCACCGCUGCCAUAUCAUACCACCGCUACCAUAUAGCACCACCGCUGACAUAUCCCACCAACGCUGCCAUAUACCACCACCGCUGCCAUAUCCUACCACUAUAUAUCCACCACCAAUCCGAGUUCCUUUCAUAUUAGGUUUGUUUUCGAGAUCCAUCUAAUUUCCGAUUCAUGUUUCCUUUCCUAAGUAGGUUUC